rnacentral:sRNA from 1 species
GCCGGGCGAGGUGACACACACCUGUAAUCCCAGUGGCUCAGGAGGCUGAGACAGGAGGAUCUCUAUCUAGUUCAAAGCCAGCCUCAGCAAUUGUGUGGCACUAAGCAACUCAGUAAGAACCUGUCUCUA